CAUGCCGUAAACGUUGGGCACUAGGUGUGGGGUCCGUUUCCACGGGUUCUGCGCCGUAGCUAACGCAUUAAGUGCCCCGCCUGGGGAGUACGGCCGCAAGGCUAAAACUCAAAGGAAUUGACGGGGGCCCGCACAAGCGGCGGAGCAUGCGGAUUAAUUCGAUGCAACGCGAAGAACCUUACCAAGGCUUGACAUAUAGAGGAAGCAUGCAGAGAUGUGUGUGCCUUCGGGUCUCUAUACAGGUGG
rnacentral:rRNA from 1 species